rnacentral:rRNA from 1 species
GACGAACGCUGGCGGCGUGCUUAACACAUGCAAGUCGAACGGGUCUGCCCUGUUUUUUGCGGGGUGGGUCAGUGGCGACCGGGUGAGUAACACGUGAGUAACCUGCCCCUCACUUCUGGAUAACCGCUUGAAAGGGUGGCUAAUACGGGGUGUUCUGGCUGUGCCGCAUGGUGUGGCUGGGAAAGAUUCACUUUUGUGGUGUUUUGGUGGGGGAUGGGCUCGCGGCCUAUCAGCUUGUUGGUGGGGUGAUGGCCUGCCAAGGCUUUGACGGGUAGCCGGCCUGAGAGGGUGGGCGGUCACACUGGGACUGAGAUACGGACCAGACUCCUGCGGGAGGCAGCAGUGGGGGGUAUUGCACAAUGGGCGGAAGCCUGAUGCAGCGACGUCGCGUGAGGGAUGGAGGCCUUCGGGUUGUGAACCUCUUUCGCCGGUGAAGAAGGUCCUGCUCUUUGUGGUGGGGUUGACGGUAGCCGGGUUAUGAAGCGCCGGCUAACUACGUG